rnacentral:rRNA from 1 species
AGAUUGAACGCUGGCGGCAUGCCUUACACAUGCAAGUCGAACGGUAGAGUAGCAAUACUCGAGAGUGGCGAACGGGUGAGUAAUAUAUCGGAACGUGCCCAGUCGUGGGGGAUAACGUAGAGAAAUUUAUGCUAAUACCGCAUACGAUCUAAGGAUGAAAGCGGGGGAUCGCAAGACCUCGCGCGAUUGGAGCGGCUGAUAUCAGAUUAGGUUGUUGGUGAGGUAAAAGCUCACCAAGCCGACGAUCUGUAGCUGGUUUGAGAGAACGACCAGCCACACUGGGACUGAGACACGGGCCCAGACUCCUACGGGAGGCAGCAGUGGGGAAUUUUGGACAAUGGCGAAAGCCUGAUCCAGCAAUGCCGCGUGCAGGAAGAAGGCCUUCGGUUAGUAACUGCGUUUUUGUACGGAACGAAAAGCGUCUUUACUAAUAAAGUAGGCCAGUGACGGUACCGUAAGAAUAAGACACG